rnacentral:rRNA from 1 species
GUCCCGGCCGUAAACGAUGCGCAUUGGGUGUUGGGGGAAUCGACCCCCUCAGCGCCGCAGCAAACGCGUUAAAUGCGCCGCCUGGGGAGUACGGUCGCAAGACUAAAACUCAAAGAAAUUGACGGGGGCCCGCACAAGCGGUGGAGUAUGUGGCUUAAUUCGAUGCAACGCGAAGAACCUUACCUGGCCUUGACAUGCAGAGUUCAGCGGUGGAAACACCGCGGCCCGCAAGGGCGAUCUGCACAGGUGCUGCAUGGCUGUCGU